ACAGUUUCAGGUAACCACAGUUAGACAAGGCAUUUUUGGGUGGAGUCAGCUAAGAACGGUCAAGCACGGGUCCCUGCCUCGUGCAUUAUAUAAUCCAUUUACUUGUUAAGCAAUGAGCAGUAUGAAAAGGGUAUUUUUUCCCCAGUAUACUGGAGUUACAAAGCCACAUUGUCUGUAGGUGUAAAUCUAAUGUUCAUAUAAUUGUGGCUCAUUGUCAAUAACCAAGGAGCAUGAGGAAGUAUUUUUCCUGUGAUUGAUAAGGAGAUUACCUAGGAAGUGCUAAUGUCUCUAUCCAUUGCUGCAAUUAUUGUGUUGUUCAAUUGCCAAAGCUGAGUUGCCAGCGGAAGAGGAUAGCUGUGAUCAAGAGCUGAUGGACUCUAUAAACCUGUCCUCCCAGGAGUUUGUAUACAAAAAACUACCCUUUCCUGUGCAUUAGUCACACUGUUACAUCUGGCAAGGGAUAAGACCCUAGUGUUCUUCUCUGUUCAUCUCAGAAGAGGCUGCAUGUCAAAGAGAGAUAGUUGCUAGGCUGUAUAUAAUAUGCUUGAAAAGAUUAAAAUCUGCCAGAGGAAAUAUGCUAUAUUAAGUCCUAUCUAUAUACUUUUAUUUACUUAGACAGCAGCUAUAAUAAUUUUAUUGUAUUUUUUCACAUGUGUUGAUACUACAUUUUCACACUUUCAAGUAUUUUACUUUUUUGGGGUUUUGAGGUUCUUUACUUUUUUGAGUAUUACACUUUUAAUUUGUUUGUGUUCCCCAAAAGAAGACAUAAGACUCGGGUCAAGUGUGCUUACCUGAUUUAGCACACUGGGUAUGCCAGAGCUGAGGUGAAAACACAGCUCUGUCCUGUUACUGCUGAUCCCUUGGGAAGUCAGCCUGGUGGCUGGUGGAUAUCAAUAGUAGUCAAUGAGCAGCCUAUCCAGCCAAAUGUAUGCUCUUCUCAAACAGCUAAAGGAUUCAUGUAUUUUAAAUACUUUAUUAAAUGCUAAAUCACUAAUGAUCUUGUCAAAGGGGGGAAAAUGCAUUCAAGAGAAGGGAAGGCAUACAUUUUUACCAAGAGUUCUUAGUAUGGUCUGAUAUACCUCCCUUGCUACUCCCCCGAGAAGGUCCCUCUAAGGUGUCGUUUCUAUAGGAAAGAAUGAAAGACAGAAAGCCAAAAAAGACCUUAUUAUACUGUAUUCCCAAAACCAGAUCCCAAUCAGUCUGAAAGUACUCUUUGUCAGGUGCCAAACAGAGAAAAUUCAACAGUGAAAAAAUUAAUAAAAGAGCCUUCUUUAUUAGUGUUUGCAUCAAAACAAAAUCUCACCCUAUCGUUAUCAGUGGAUGAGUGUUACCCAACAGGUUGCACCACCUUCCAGCAGUAAACAUACAUAAUAAACCCUGGCACAGCUUUGGAAUAAUCCCUUGCUGAUCUUUUGCUUGGGCUGGGUUGGCCUAGGGUUGGGACAGGAUGUAGACAGGAAUGAGAGGCAGUGAGGAGUCAAGCACUGAUACUGAUGCUUCAUGUCAGCUGAGGUUCUAGUAAGUGUAUACACUUCUAGUGCAGAAGUAUAAAAUUUAAGCAUCAGUAUCUUUAAAUUAAAUGUAAAGCAGACAUAUGCUAUCAACAAGGUAGUACCUUCUAAAAGUUUCUAAGAGCCAUGCUUAUCCUCACAAGUUUCUGUCCCUGUCUGCAUUCUUUACAGAAUUUUCUUAACCGGACUUGCAAUUAAUUCCCUUAAAUGUUAUUUCUGUUAUGUUGCUACCCUUGCUAUAUAAGUUUCUGGUAAGCAUUUCAA